rnacentral:rRNA from 1 species
UGGGGAAUUUUGGACAAUGGGCGCAAGCCUGAUCCAGCCAUGCCGCGUGUCUGAAGAAGGCCUUCGGGUUGUAAAGGACUUUUGUCAGGGAAGAAAAGGCUGUUGCUAAUAUCAGCGGCUGAUGACGGUACCUGAAGAAUAAGCACCGGCUAACUACGUGCCAGCAGCCGCGGUAAUACGUAGGGUGCAAGCGUUAAUCGGAAUUACUGGGCGUAAAGCGAGCGCAGACGGUUACUUAAGCAGGAUGUGAAAUCCCCGGGCUCAACCUGGGAACUGCGUUCUGAACUGGGUGACUAGAGUGUGUCAGAGGGAGGUAGAAUUCCACGUGUAGCAGUGAAAUGCGUAGAGAUGUGGAGGAAUACCGAUGGCGAAGGCAGCCUCCUGGGAUAACACUGACGUUCAUGCUCGAAAGCGUGGGUAGCAAACAGGAUUAGAUACCCUGGUAGUCCACGCCCUAAACGAUGUCAAUUAGCUGUUGGGCAACUUGAUUGUUCAGUANCGUAGCUAACGCGUGAAAUUGACCGCCUGGGGGAGUACGGUCGCAAGAUUAA